AGUGAACGCUGGCGGCGUGCCUAAUACAUGCAAGUCGAACGGAGUGGCGCACGGGUGAGUAAUAUAUAGCUAAUCUGCCCCUUGCUGGAGGACAACAGUUAGAAAUGACUGCUAAUACUCCAUAGCAAGGGAUGUGACUAUAUCGUAUCAGCUAGUCGGUGGGGUAACGGCCUACCGAGGCUAUGACGCGUAACUGGUCGGAGAGGAUGAUCAGUAACAUUGGACGGGAGACACCGUCCGAACUCCUACGGGAAGCAGCAGUAGGGAAUAUUGCGCAAUGGGGGAAACCCUAACGCGGCAUCGCCGCGUGGAGGAUGACACUUAGCGGAGCGUAAACUCCUUUUGUUAGGAAAGCGGUACCUAACGAAUAAGCACCGGCUAACUCCGUGCCAGCAGCCGCGGUAAUUC
rnacentral:rRNA from 1 species